rnacentral:rRNA from 1 species
UACGUAGGGUGCAAGCGUUGUCCGGAAUUAUUGGGCGUAAAGAGCUCGUAGGCGGUCUGUCGCGUCUGCUGUGAAAACUCGGGGCUUAACCCCGGGCCUGCAGUGGGUACGGGCAGACUAGAGUGCGGUAGGGGAGACUGGAAUUCCGUGGUGUAGCGGUGAAAUGCGCAGAUAUCAGGAGGAACACCGAUGGCGAAGGCAGGUCUCUGGGCCACUACUGACGCUGAGAAGCGAAAGACAUGGGGAGCGAACAGG